AGAACGAACGCUGGCGGCAUGCCUAAUACAUGCAAGUCGAACGAACACUUCGGUGUUAGUGGCGCACGGGUGCGUAACGCGUGGGAAUCUGCCCUUGGGUUCGGAAUAACAGUUGGAAACGACUGCUAAUACCGGAUGAUGACGAAAGUCCAAAGAUUUAUCGCCCAGGGAUGAGCCCGCGUAGGAUUAGCUAGUUGGUGAGGUAAAGGCU
rnacentral:rRNA from 1 species